rnacentral:rRNA from 1 species
UACGUAGGGUGCAAGCGUUGUCCGGAAUUAUUGGGCGUAAAGGGCUCGUAGGCGGUUUGUCGCGUCGGGAGUGAAAACUCAGGGCUUAACCCUGAGCCUGCUUCCGAUACGGGCAGACUAGAGGUAUGCAGGGGAGACUGGAAUUCCUGGUGUAGCGGUGAAAUGCGCAGAUAUCAGGAGGAACACCGGUGGCGAAGGCGGGUCUCUGGGCCGAUACUGACGCUGAGGAGCGAAAGCGUGGGGAGCGAACAGG